GUGAAGCGGGAACAGCUCAAAUUUGAAAUCUGGCCCUCGGGUCCGAGUUGUAAUUUGUAGAGGAUGCUUUUGGUGCGGUGCCUUCCGAGUUCCCUGGAACGGGACGCCUUAGAGGGUGAGAGCCCCGUACGGUUGGACGCCUAGCCUCUGUAAAGCUCCUUCGACGAGUCGAGUAGUUUGGGAAUGCUGCUCUAAAUGGGAGGUAUAUUUCUUCUAAAGCUAAAUACCGGCCAGAGACCGAUAGCGCACAAGUAGAGUGAUCGAAAGAUGAAAAGCACUUUGAAAAGAGGGUUAAAUAGCACGUGAAAUUGUUGAAAGGGAAGCGUUUAUCACCAGACUUUUUCUAGGGGGAUCAUCCGGGGUUCUCCCCGGUGCACUUCCCCUAGUUGAGGCCAGCAUCGGUUUUCGGAGGGGGAUAAAAGUUUCGGGAAUGUGACUCCCCCGGGAGUGUUAUAGCCCGUUACAUAAUACCCUUCUGGGGACCGAGGUUCGCGCAUCUGCAAGGAUGCUGGCAUAAUGGUGAUCAACGACCCGU
rnacentral:rRNA from 1 species